AACGACGGAUGGGGGGUUGCCAAAUACAUUGCAAGUCGAGCGGACAGAUGGGAGCUUGCUCCCUGAUGUUAGCGGCGGACGGGUGAGUAACACGUGGGUAACCUGCCUGUAAGACUGGGAUAACUCCGGGAAACCGGGGCUAAUACCGGAUGGUUGUUUGAACCGCAUGGUUCAAACAUAAAAGGUGGCUUCGGCUACCACUUACAGAUGGACCCGCGGCGCAUUAGCUAGUUGGUGAGGUAACGGCUCACCAAGGCGACGAUGCGUAGCCGACCUGAGAGGGUGAUCGGCCACACUGGGACUGAGACACGGCCCAGACUCCUACGGGAGGCAGCAGUAGGGAAUCUUCCGCAAUGGACGAAAGUCUGACGGAGCAACGCCGCGUGAGUGAUGAAGGUUUUCGGAUCGUAAAGCUCUGUUGUUAGGGAAGAACAAGUACCGUUCGAAUAGGGCGGUACCUUGACGGUACCUAACCAGAAAGCCACGGCUAACUACGUGCCAGCAGCCGCGGUAAUACGUAGGUGGCAAGCGUUGUCCGGAAUUAUUGGGCGUAAAGGGCUCGCAGGCGGUUUCUUAAGUCUGAUGUGAAAGCCCCCGGCUCAACCGGGGAGGGUCAUUGGAAACUGGGGAACUUGAGUGCAGAAGAGGAGAGUGGAAUUCCACGUGUAGCGGUGAAAUGCGUAGAGAUGUGGAGGAACACCAGUGGCGAAGGCGACUCUCUGGUCUGUAACUGACGCUGAGGAGCGAAAGCGUGGGGAGCGAACAGGAUUAGAUACCCUGGUAGUCCACGCCGUAAACGAUGAGUGCUAAGUGUUAGGGGGUUUCCGCCCCUUAGUGCUGCAGCUAACGCAUUAAGCACUCCGCCUGGGGAGUACGGUCGCAAGACUGAAACUCAUAGGAAUUGGACGGGGGGCCCGCACAAGCGGUGGAGCCAUGUGGUUUUAUUUCGAAGCAACGCGCAAGAACCUUACCAGGGUCGUGGACAUCCUCUGACAAUCCUAAGAAAGACG
rnacentral:rRNA from 1 species